rnacentral:rRNA from 1 species
AGCUUGCUCCUGGGAUUAGUGGCGAACGGGUGAGUAACACGUGAGUAACCUGCCCUUGACUCUGGGAUAAGCGUUGGAAACGACGUCUAAUACCGGAUAUGACCCCUACCGGCAUCGGUUGGGGGUGGAAAGAUUUUUUGGUCAAGGAUGGACUCGCGGCCUAUCAGGUAGUUGGUGAGGUAAUGGCUCACCAAGCCGACGACGGGUAGCCGGCCUGAGAGGGUGACCGGCCACACUGGGACUGAGACACGGCCCAGACUCCUACGGGAGGCAGCAGUGGGGAAUAUUGCACAAUGGGCGAAAGCCUGAUGCAGCAACGCCGCGUGAGGGAUGACGGCCUUCGGGUUGUAAACCUCUUUUAGUAGGGAAGAAGGGAGCUUGCUCUUGACGGUACCUGCAGAAAAAGCACCGGCUAACUACGUGCCAGCAGCCGCGGUAAUACGUAGGGUGCAAGCGUUGUCCGGAAUUAUUGGGCGUAAAGAGCUCGUAGGCGGUUUGUCGCGUCUGCUGUGAAAUCUGGGGGCUCAACCCCCAGCCUGCAGUGGGUACGGGCAGACUAGAGUGCGGUAGGGGAGAUU